AAAAAAGAUCACGUGUAAUGGCUCUGGGAUCGGCAACGUCUGUCAUUUUUUGUUUUUGUUUGUUUGGUUUCUUCUUUUUUUUCAGGAGGGGUUGAAAAUGGAAAGAAAGUAUAGGUGGGGUAUCUAGAGA
rnacentral:ribozyme from 14 species